AGAGUUUGAUUAUGGCUCAGAUUGAACGCUGGCGGCAGGCUUAACACAUGCAAGUCGAGCGGGGAAAGGUAGCUUGCUACUGGACCUAGCGGCGGACGGGUGAGUAAUGCUUAGGAAUCUGCCUAUUAGUGGGGGACAACAUUCCGAAAGGAAUGCUAAUACCGCAUACGCCCUACGGGGGAAAGCAGGGGAUCUUCGGACCUUGCGCUAAUAGAUGAGCCUAAGUCGGAUUAGCUAGUUGGUGGGGUAAAGGCCUACCAAGGCGACGAUCUGUAGCGGGUCUGAGAGGAUGAUCCGCCACACUGGGACUGAGACACGGCCCAGACUCCUACGGGAGGCAGCAGUGGGGAAUAUUGGACAAUGGGCGGAAGCCUGAUCCAGCCAUGCCGCGUGUGUAGAAGAAGGCCUUUUGGUUGUAAAGCACUUUAAGCGAGGAGGAGGCUCCUUUAGUUAAUACCUAAAGUGAGUGGACGUUACUCGCAGAAUAAGCACCGGCUAACUCUGUGCCAGCAGCCGC
rnacentral:rRNA from 1 species